GCCUGGGUAGCUCAGUUGGUUAAGCCUCUGACUUCAGCUCAGGUCCUGAUCUCGUGGUUUGUGAGUUCGAGCCCCGCAUCGGGCU
rnacentral:tRNA from 1 species